rnacentral:lncRNA from 1 species
AUGCUGCGAAGGAGCGGGGGAUCCUCCGUGACCCAGCGAUCCCUUCGGAGACGUCACGGGAUCCCUUUCGGGGCGUUGGAAAUACGAAUGAGUGUCGGCGGCCAAGCGGAGGCGGCGGCGCAGGCCCGGCCUCGAGCCGCGGUGUCUCAGUGACUGGGGCCGCGGCGGCCGAGCGCAGGCGGCGUACGAGGCCUGAGCCGCCGACCCGCGGCCGGGCGGAAUGGCGGCCGGGCCGGGGGCCCUCGCGGGGCGGAGGACGCCGGGGGCGGGCGAGGGGCGAGCGGGGCCCGCCCUGAGUCACCCCGGCUGGCUCGGGCCUGCCUGGCCGGGCCGGGCCGCGGCUCCGGGGCGGCCAGGCCCGGACUACGCACCGGGAAAAAGCCCGAUUCAUCGCGCCCGGAGGCGGCGGCCUGCGUGGCGCCGGGCUCGCCUCCCGGAGGCUGGGCCGGCGUCCGCGCCGCGCCUCGCCUCGCCUCGUGCGGCGACCCUCGCGGGACGGCCGCGCUUCGGCCCUCUCUCCCUCCCCCGCCUUCCGGCUCGCGCUUCUCCCUCGGGCGUCGCUGGCAUGCUCUCCGGCGCGCCUCCGGAGCGGCCGAGCCGGUCUCCCUGGCUCUCGGGUGCCCCGCUCGCUUUGUUGCGGCCGUGCAGGGCGCUAUUAUUGGGUAAUAGUCUCCCCUUUGCUCCGUUCUCUCGGGGGAGCGGGCCGGCGCAGACGGCGCAGGGAUGCCCGGGCGGCGGCGGAACCGGACGGAGCCCCUCGGCGCCCGCCGAGCGCUCUCGACUCGGCCCCAGGCCCUGCGCCCUGGCCUCGGCACGAGCGCGCGCCCCGAGCCGGGAGGGAGCCCCGGCCGCGGGGAUUUGGGGUCCGCCAGGCACGCGGGUCGUGCGCUUCGGUGCCCAAGGCCCAGGCUCCUUCUCCCCAGCCCUUGGCGCACUGGCACCCCAGCAUCCACGCAGUGCCCUGCCAGGAGAACACAAGGUUUCUUUAGCUACAGACGCCCAGGAAAGUGCCAAGAAAACAGCCUGCGAUCUAGUUAGCUUUUCUCCCCCUCCAAAACUUGUAAGGCUUUGA